UACGUAGGGUGCGAGCGUUAAUCGGAAUUACUGGGCGUAAAGCGUGCGCAGGCGGUUCUCCAAGUCCGUUGUGAAAGCCCCGGGCUCAACCUGGGAAUGGCAGUGGAAACUAGGGGACUGGAAUCUGGCAGAGGGGGGUGGAAUGCCGCGUGUAGCAGUGAAAUGCGUAGAGAUGCGGCGGAACACCGAUGGCGAAGCAGCCCCCUGGGCUGAGAUUGACGCUCAGGCACGAAAGCGUGGGGAGCAAACAGG
rnacentral:rRNA from 1 species